rnacentral:rRNA from 1 species
UACAGAGGGUGCGAGCGUUAAUCGGAAUUACUGGGCGUAAAGCGCGCGUAGGCGGCUUUUCAAGUCGAUUGUGAAAUCCCCGGGCUUAACCUGGGAACUGCAGUCGAGACUGUCUAGCUAGAGUAUGGGAGAGGGAAGUGGAAUUUCAGGUGUAGCGGUGAAAUGCGCAGAUAUCAGGAGGAACACCGGUGGCGAAGGCGGAUCUCUGGGCCUUACCUGACGCUCAGGCGCGAAAGCUAGGGGAGCGAACAGG